AGGUGCGACCACACCAGCACUAAUGCACUGGAUUCCAUCAAAACUCCGCAGUUAAGCGUGCUUGGACGAGAGUAUUACUAGGACGGGUGACCUUAUAGGAAGUCCUCGUGUUGCACCUC